GAAGAUGCUUUCAUGAUCGACACAUCUGUCAUUGCUGUUGCUUAUCACUGUUCCUGGGAAUCCGUUACUUCAUCAGCCGUCUUUCUUUCCAUCUAAUGAACACUCUUCUCCCUGACUCAGAUGUCAUCACCAUGAGAAGGACAUACCACCCCAGAAUAAGGAGAGGCAAAUGGAUUAGACUUGAAAUGAACCCAGAGCCUAGAUUCAAGCACAGCCAAACCCAGCUUGGAUCACGUUCCCAGUCCUGUGCAGAAGAACCGUGAGACCUACAAUAUAUUUCAAUACCUUCUUUCAAGAAAUAA
rnacentral:lncRNA from 1 species